rnacentral:rRNA from 1 species
UACGUAGGGUGCGAGCGUUGCCCGGAUUUAUUGGGCGUAAAGGGCGCGUAGGCGGCCACGCACGUCCGUUGUGAAAUCGCCCGGCUCAACUGGGCGGGGUCAGCGGAUACGGUGUGGCUCGAGCAAGCUAGGGGGCAAUGGAACUCCCGGUGUAGUGGUGGAAUGCGUAGAUAUCGGGAAGAACAUCGGUGGCGAAGGCGGCCAGCUGGGCCGUUGCUGACGCUGAGGCGCGACAGCGUGGGGAGCAAACAGG